GUGAGCUGGGUCACGUUGUUUUGCUGUGAGCGGUGAGAGUGUUCGUUACACAGUAAUUUAAUCAUAUUUUCGAAGUGCCUAAACAAACUGUGAUCCGUACCGUGUGCAUUAACCAUCAGGAAACCUCUGGACUCGUGUAACGCCAUUAGUUCGCCUUAUGUUUCGUGUGAUACGCCAGUGUCUUGCGUACUACAGCGCCCGUCCGAGCGGCCUUUGUUCUCGCCUGUCCGCGUUCGCUCGUGGAAUACCUGAUACUGUGGCUUCGAAUUAUGGUGCGUGAAAGAAUUUGUUGACAGUUGUGCUUUCGUGCGCUGGUGUUCAUCGGCGAUUCAACAGUGUUCGCGCUGGAAAGAGUGUCGUCGCGUGGUGCCUGCGAGACGAAGAAGCCGUUUGCUGACCACAUUGAAGGUGCCUUGUGAGCUCUCACCCAAGCAACACAUUCCAGAGGUCUGCUGUGAGCAGACGUGGCAAACUGAAGUAACAUUCAGAUAGUCCAAUAAACUGUUCGUAGUUUCAGACAAA